UAUUUUCGGUUGACGCCGAUUUUUCUAACUUAUCUUUUCCUCUAUUCCCCCUCUCAGUUCUCCCUCUCUCUUGCUUACUCGCGCGUUCUAUUCAGUUCUCUCUCUCUCUUUGGAUUGACGGGACAAAAAGCUUUCAAAAACUAGGCGUCCCUUCCCAACACUAGAACGCGCCCCUCAGAAACAAACCCUAGCGCUCUCUCUCUUUCUCUCUCUCUCCGUCUCUGCUCCUUUUUUGUUCUUUAUUUCUUCUCUCUCCGCGUUUCUUUUAGAUUCUGUUUGGAUGCUUUGAAUCCUUGAUUUUCUAUUUCUUCUCUUUUUUUUUUAUUCUUUCGUUCGCUGAAGCUUUUGAAGGAUGGAGAAUAAAGAAGGGGCCGAUCCACGGAAUGAGUUUACGUCCGAUUCGAGCUGGACACUGCCUGGGCCUGACCCGGUCUCCGACAGCGUCAAUUACUUCUUCGAUAGGGAAAGCAGUAUACUGAGUGAGUUCGGGUGGAAUCUACAACCGGACCAGGCUGAAGAGAUUGAGCGGUUCGGUGAACUUGACCGUACCGAAACCAGGCCUGAUUUGGCGGGAAACUUUAGCGGCUCACAGAGCUCUGGUGCAGGUGCAGCUGCUGCUGGUUCAGGUUCGGGGACGGCGUCGAAUCCGAGCGGGUCAGCUGACGUGUCGACAUCGAAUCCGUCGGUGUCGUCGAGCUCCAGCGAAGAUCCGCCGGAGAAAUCUACGGGCUCCGGCGGGAAACCGCCCGAGAUACCGAGUAAGGUCAGGAAGAAGGGGCAAAAGCGAAUCCGGCAGCCAAGAUUUGCAUUUGUGACCAAGAGUGAAGUUGAUCAUCUUGAAGAUGGCUAUCGGUGGCGGAAAUAUGGACAAAAAGCCGUUAAAAAUAGUCCAUUCCCUAGGAGCUACUAUCGCUGCACAAAUAGCAAAUGCACAGUGAAGAAGAGAGUAGAACGUUCCUCUGAAGAUCCCACCACUGUCAUUACUACAUAUGAAGGUCAACACUGUCAUCACAGUGUCGGAUUCCCCCGUGGUGGACUCGUCAGCCAUGAAGCUGCCUUUGCUGGUCAAUUGACUCCUGCAGUCUCACAAUUUUAUUAUCCAGGGGUACAGUUACAUAGGGAAAUUCCUCCAAGCAUAACACAGUCACACCAAGUACCCAUUGACGUAGGAGGAUCUCGUGCGCUGCCAGAACCAACCCCUCAGCUUCCCACAGAUGAAGGGUUACUUGGGGAUAUUGUGCCUCCUGGAAUGCGUAACAGAUGAGAAAGAAAGCAUGGCCAGGCAAUGCUUGGUUCUAAGGACCAUCUCCGGGAUAUCAGAAGAGCCAAAGCCAAGGGCAAUUUUUUCCAAGAAGUGAGUUCGUUACCUGAAAACACAAUCCUUAAGAGACCCAUUUAGGAGAUGUACAUGCGAUGGGAGGAGCACACCCUCUCUCACUGCACCACAUCGCCCCUCCCAAACGUCUCUCCUUAAAUAUCAAUAUUAUACUUACAUGAAUCAGUUUCAUGGAUUCAUCAAGGAAUAUGACAGUACCGUUAGCCCCAUGUUCGAGGUAACGAUCAUCCAAGGUAUACUCUCCCUGUCAUGUCUAUCCCACCCACUAAACUCCAACAGCUAAAAACAUUUUUUACUCAGUACCUAUUGGUAGUUGCUAGAAUACGAAGAAUGCCCUCUGGUCAUGCUCAAAAGAAAAACUUAAAAUCCAUGAAAAUACUGUUUAAUAUAUAAGUAAAAUCUUCAAGGGUUAGAUAGGAAAGACAGACUUAAUUCAUUUCUUUGUACCCUAUAAUAAAUUACUCCCUUUUUUUUCUAUAUAUAUAUAUAUAUAUACAUAAAAAGCAUUCUUUAACUAUUGCCAACUAGACACCUGCAAUUUAAGAGUGUUUGGUCCAAAGGAUCUUUUUAAUAUUUCCUGUAAUGUGAAUUAUAAAAUUAUAUUAUAAUUUUUGAUAAAUAAAAAAAUCAAGGUAAUAUAAUAUUAUAUUGUCAUCUCAUUAUAUUUAAUAAAAAUAAUAUUUUUUUAUAUUAACAUGUAAGCGUUGAGAUACAUAGCAAGAGAUAACUCUUUAUUUAAAAAAAAUAAAAAAAGAUAUACAUAAUUUUCUCACUUUGAAUAGAAUAAUUAUAUGCAAAUAAUUAAAACAAAAAUUAUCUGAUUAGAGAACCACUAAGAUAUCUCGAACU